GCGGGUGUCGGUUAAUGGUAAACCACAGCUCUCCAAAAGCUGAACCGGGGGUUCGAUUCCCUCCACCCGUG
rnacentral:tRNA from 1 species